GCUGGGCAUGGUGGCACACACCUGUAAUCCCAGCAGCUUGGGAGGCUGAGGCAGGAGGAUCACAAGUUCAAAGUCAGCCUCAGCAAAAGCGAAUUGCUAAACAACUCAGUGAGACCCUAUCUCUA
rnacentral:sRNA from 1 species